AUUGAACGCUGGCGGCAGGCUUAACACACGCAAGUCGAGCGGAGCGAGGGUGCUUGCACCUUAGCUUAGCGGCGGACGGGUGAGUAAUGCUUAGGAAUCUGCCUAUUAGUGGGGGACAACAUUCCGAAAGGGAUGCUAAUACCGCAUACGCCCUACGGGGGAAAGCAGGGGAUCUUCGGACCUUGCGCUAAUAGAUGAGCCUAAGUCGGAUUAGCUAGUUGGUGGGGUAAAGGCCUACCAAGGCGACGAUCUGUAGCGGGUCUGAGAGGAUGAUCCGCCACACUGGGACUGAGACACGGCCCAGACUCCUACGGGAGGCAGCAGUGGGGAAUAUUGGACAAUGGGCGGAAGCCUGAUCCAGCCAUGCCGCGUGUGUGAAGAAGGCCUUUUGGUUGUAAAGCACUUUAAGCGAGGAGGAGGCUCUUAAGGUUAAUACCCUUGAUGAGUGGACGUUACUCGCAGAAUAAGCACCGGCUAACUCUGUGCCGGCAGCCGCGGUAAAAC
rnacentral:rRNA from 1 species